rnacentral:rRNA from 1 species
GGUUAAGCGACUAAGCGUACACGGUGGAUGCCCUGGCAGUCAGAGGCGAUGAAGGACGUGCUAAUCUGCGAAAAGCGUCGGUAAGGUGAUAUGAACCGUUAUAGCCGGCGAUGUCCGAAUGGGGAAACCCAGUGCAAUUCGUUGCACUAUCGUUAACUGAAUACAUAGGUUAACGAGGCGAACCGGGGGAACUGAAACAUCUAAGUACCCCGAGGAAAAGAAAUCAACCGAGAUUCCCCCAGUAGCGGCGAGCGAACGGGGAGCAGCCCGGAGUCUGAAUCAGCUUGUGUGUUAGUGGAAGCGUCUGGAAAGUCGCAGGGUACAGGGUGAUACUCCCGUACACUAAAACACACAGGUUGUGAACUCGAAGAGUAGGGCGGGACACGUGGUAUCCUGUCUGAAUAUGGGGGGACCAUCCUCCAAGGCUAAAUACUCCUGACUGACCGAUAGUGAACCAGUACCGUGAGGGAAAGGCGAAAAGAACCCCGGCGAGGGGAGUGAAAAAGAACCUGAAACCGUGUACGUACAAGCAGUAGGAGCCCACUAGUUGGGUGACUGCGUACCUUUUGUAUAAUGGGUCAGCGACUUAUAUUCUGUAGCAAGGUUAACCGAAUAGGGGAGCCGCAGGGAAACCGAGUCUUAACUGGGCGUUAAGUUGCAGGGUAUAGACCCGAAACCCGGUGAUCUAGCCAUGGGCAGGUUGAAGGUUGGGUAACACUAACUGGAGGACCGAACCGACUAAUGUUGAAAAAUUAGCGGAUGACUUGUGGCUGGGGGUGAAAGGCCAAUCAAACCGGGAGAUAGCUGGUUCUCCCCGAAAGCUAUUUAGGUAGCGCCUCGUGAACUCAUCUUCGGGGGUAGAGCACUGUUUCGGCUAGGGGGUCAUCCCGACUUACCAACCCGAUGCAAACUACGAAUACCGAAGAAUGUUAUCACGGGAGACACACGGCGGGUGCUAACGUCCGUCGUGAAGAGGGAAACAACCCAGACCGCCAGCUAAGGUCCCAAAGUCAUGGUUAAGUGGGAAACGAUGUGGGAAGGCCCAGACAGCCAGGAUGUUGGCUUAGAAGCAGCCAUCAUUUAAAGAAAGCGUAAUAGCUCACUGGUCGAGUCGGCCUGCGCGGAAGAUGUAACGGGGCUAAACCAUGCACCGAAGCUGCGGCAGCGACGCUUAUGCGUUGUUGGGUAGGGGAGCGUUCUGUAAGCCGUUGAAGGUGGCCUGUGAGGGUUGCUGGAGGUAUCAGAAGUGCGAAUGCUGACAUAAGUAACGAUAAUGCGGGUGAAAAACCCGCACGCCGGAAGACCAAGGGUUCCUGUCCAACGUUAAUCGGGGCAGGGUGAGUCGACCCCUAAGGCGAGGCCGAAAGGCGUAGUCGAUGGGAAACAGGUUAAUAUUCCUGUACUUGGUGUUACUGCGAAGGGGGGACGGAGAAGGCUAUGUUGGCCGGGCGACGGUUGUCCCGGUUUAAGCAUGUAGGCGGAUGUUCCAGGUAAAUCCGGAACGUUACUAACGCUGAGGUGUGAUGACGAGGCACUACGGUGCUGAAGUGACAAAUGCCCUGCUUCCAGGAAAAGCCUCUAAGCAUCAGGUAACAUCAAAUCGUACCCCAAACCGACACAGGUGGUCAGGUAGAGAAUACCAAGGCGCUUGAGAGAACUCGGGUGAAGGAACUAGGCAAAAUGGUGCCGUAACUUCGGGAGAAGGCACGCUGAUGGUAGGUGAAGUGACUUGCUCAUGGAGCUGAAAUCAGUCGAAGAUACCAGCUGGCUGCAACUGUUUAUUAAAAACACAGCACUGUGCAAACACGAAAGUGGACGUAUACGGUGUGACGCCUGCCCGGUGCCGGAAGGUUAAUUGAUGGGGUUAUCCUCGCGGAGAAGCUCUUGAUCGAAGCCCCGGUAAACGGCGGCCGUAACUAUAACGGUCCUAAGGUAGCGAAAUUCCUUGUCGGGUAAGUUCCGACCUGCACGAAUGGCGUAAUGAUGGCCAGGCUGUCUCCACCCGAGACUCAGUGAAAUUGAACUCGCUGUGAAGAUGCAGUGUACCCGCGGCAAGACGGAAAGACCCCGUGAACCUUUACUAUAGCUUGACACUGAACACUGGUCCUUGAUGUGUAGGAUAGGUGGGAGGCUUUGAAGUGUGGACGCCAGUCUGCAUGGAGCCAUCCUUGAAAUACCACCCUUUAAUGGCUGGUGUUCUAACGUGGGCCCGUGAUCCGGGUUGCGGACAGUGUCUGGUGGGUAGUUUGACUGGGGCGGUCUCCUCCUAAAGAGUAACGGAGGAGCACGAAGGUCAGCUAAUCCUGGUCGGACAUCAGGAGGUUAGUGCAAUGGCAUAAGCUGGCUUGACUGCGAGCGUGACGGCGCGAGCAGGUGCGAAAGCAGGUCAUAGUGAUCCGGUGGUUCUGAAUGGAAGGGCCAUCGCUCAACGGAUAAAAGGUACUCCGGGGAUAACAGGCUGAUACCGCCCAAGAGUUCAUAUCGACGGCGGUGUUUGGCACCUCGAUGUCGGCUCAUCACAUCCUGGGGCUGAAGUAGGUCCCAAGGGUAUGGCUGUUCGCCAUUUAAAGUGGUACGCGAGCUGGGUUUAGAACGUCGUGAGACAGUUCGGUCCCUAUCUGCCGUGGGCGCUGGAGAAUUGAGGGGGGCUGCUCCUAGUACGAGAGGACCGGAGUGGACGCAUCACUGGUGUUCGGGUUGUCAUGCCAAUGGCAUUGCCCGGUAGCUAAAUGCGGAAGAGAUAAGUGCUGAAAGCAUCUAAGCACGAAACUUGCCCCGAGAUGAGUUCUCCCUGACCCUUUAAGGGUCCUGAAGGAACGUUGAAGACGACGACGUUGAUAGGCCGGGUGUGUAAGCGCAGCGAUGCGUUGAGCUAACCGGUACUAAUGAACCGUGAGGCUUAACCUU